CUCAGAGAAAAAGUGGCUAUGGUGACCAGGAUAGAGGCUAUGCAUGGGCUCAACCACCUGGACUUCCUUGGACCAAGGCUGGCCUGGCUACCGUUUCUCAUUAAAUUCCUAUCAAUUAACUGCAAAGAAAACCACCGCACUCUUGAUAUGGUUAUAAAAGGAUACCCGUUCGUUAGGAGACGUCUAUGAUCCAUCUCAAAUUAAUUUUUGCAAACAGUGUGAGUUAAAGUUUUGUAUAUUCUUUUCACAUGGAUAUCUAUUUUUUCUAACACCCUUUGCUGAAAAGAUUUUCAUUUCUUACAGAUUGCUUUGGAGCCUUUGUCAAAACCCAAAAAACUGACUGAAAAUUCCCUAGGUUGUAUCCAACUCUUUUUCAGUGCCAUGAACUGUGGCCCACCAGGUUCCUCUGUCCACGGGAUUUCCCAGGCAAUAAUACUGGAAUGGGUUGCCAUUACCUUCUCCAGAAGAUCUUCCUGACCAGAGGAUCGAACCUGAGUCUCCUGCAUUGGCAGGCAGAUUCUUUGCCACUGAGCCUCCAGAGAAGCCCUCAAAUAAUUGUAGCUUUAUAUUUUGUUUUGAGAUCAGGUAAUAUAAGCCUUCCAACUUUAGUCUCCUUUCUCAUGACUGUGUUGGAUAUGCUGAGUUCUUACAUUUCUG
ensembl:lncRNA